AAGUGCUUGGGCAUAACUGGUUAGGGUUUCUUUUUUCUCUCCCUUGAAUUUUUGGGUUUUUGGAGAUGCUUAUUCAUUUGGAGGGUUUUGUUAAUUGGGUGAGAAAUGGUUCAUUUUUGUGAUAUGAUUGCUUUUUUCUAGUUCUUAAGCGUGUUGUUGAAAACCCACUUCUCUGUUUUGGGGUUCUUUAGGAAACGAAUGAUAAUUGCUUCAACAUAUUAAGGGGGCUACUGGGUUUCAGUGUAGGGUUUUUGUGUUUAGUGUA
rnacentral:misc_RNA from 1 species